rnacentral:rRNA from 1 species
UCGGGAAUUUUGGGCAAUGGGCGAAAGCCUGACCCAGCAACGCCGCGUGAAGGAUGAAGUAUUUCGGUAUGUAAACUUCGAAAGAAUAGGAAGAAUAAAUGACGGUACUAUUUAUAAGGUCCGGCUAACUACGUGCCAGCAGCCGCGGUAAUACGUAGGGACCAAGCGUUGUUCGGAUUUACUGGGCGUAAAGGGCGCGUAGGCGGCAUGACAAGUCACUUGUGAAAUCUCUGGGCUUAACCCAGAACGGCCAAGUGAUACUGUCGCGCUAGAGUGCAGAAGGGGCAAUCGGAAUUCUUGGUGUAGCGGUGAAAUGCGUAGAUAUCAAGAGGAACACCUGAGGUGAAGACGGGUUGCUGGGCUGACUACUGACGCUGAGGCGCGAAAGCCAGGGGAGCAAACGGGAUUAGAUACCCUAGUAGUCCCUGAGCGGGCUGGCAAGGCGCAU